rnacentral:lncRNA from 14 species
UUUAUGUUAGGUCUUAAAGCUUUAUUGUCCCGAAAUACAACCGCUUUAGUGGGACAUCAAAGGCUGGUAAUGAUCCGAGAUGCCUUUGGGGCUGCAGCCAAAACUGGAAGGUGUUCGCAUCGCCGGCUGGGAUUACAGCCCCUUUCCAAACACAAUCAUCGGAGGUAACUUAAAAUAAUCAUCUUCUUUCCAGACAGCGCCUGGUGCCGAGCUCUCACUCCCUUCCCCCAAGGCUUCGUGCGCUCCAGCAUCUCCGUUUGGCCUCAUUUUUGUGCUUCGGUGGUGCCUGCACAGCCCAAAUUAGCACCGAGGAUCCCGCGGAGGGGGGCGCCGCCUCCCUCGGCUCGCAGGUGAGCUCCCGGGGCGNNNNNNNNNNNNNNNNNNNNNNNNNNNNNNNNNNNNNNNNNNNNNNNNNNNNNNNNNNNNNNNNNNNNNNNNNNNNNNNNNNNNNNNNNNNNNNNNNNNGCGGGGGGAGGAAGGCCGGGGCCGAGGCGGGGCUUUAACGCGGGCCGGAGGGCGAGGAGCUCGCCGGAGCCGCCCCUGUCGUCAGUGCUGGCGGCAAGUGCUGGGAGCCGGGGCUGGUGCCUCCUCCCUCUCCUCCUCCUCCUCCAUUGUAUAAUGCUGCGUGAUCGCAGCCGCCGGGGCAGAGCGGAGGCUUAAAUCCUCACGCCGCCUGCGCCUGCCUCCUCCUCCUUUGCCUCCUUCUUCUCCUCCUCCUCCUCCUCCUCGUUCUCCUCCGCAUCCCACCCGGCCCCUCCCCGGAGCGGCGCGGCGAGGGAGCGACAUAUGGAGCUGCUCUAGGGCGAGAGUUUGCGACCUCCCCUCCCCUCCAUGCGUUAGUUCUCAGGUGGAGCUGCAUGUGUGUUGAAUGGGAGGAGGAUGCCUGUGCUCUCGGAGGGCAGGCCAGCUCCCAGCUGCCAGGGCAGGUUUGCUUUGCUUUGCCAGGAUCCUACAGGCUAAAGAGCAUUGUGCUGAGGUGGGUGAGCCUGUGGUCCUCCUCCAAGGGGGUCUGCCUGAGAUGCCAGACACUCUGCCAUGGCCUUGGGGAAGUGGAAAUAGGCACAGGGAGAGAGAGGUUUGCCUCCCUAGUUCUAGGGAGCACAUACUUUGAAGUCAUAAGGGCUGGUUACAAGUGCAGGUGGUCCCUUAGGCUCUGGCAGCACUGAAAUGUCCUAUGGCAGGCCCAACCUGCCUUUGCUACCUGAAAGAAUCCAGCCCUCAACUUGCAGGUUGAACCAAGUUGGCACAAAAGGCCUUUUAAUUUUGGUCCUGCAGCUACCUAUGCCAAAUCCUGAUCCUGCUGAAGUCAGUAACAGAACACUCAUUGACUAUGGUUGGGCCAGGAUACAGCCAGUGCAACCCUCAAGGAUGAGGAGUGAGGGAUAGAGGAGAGGAAAAUAAUACUUCAUGUGCCAGAAGUGACACAGAAAGUGCUUAAUUUACUCAAUAGAGACUCUACAAAACCCUGGUGAGGUUCAUUUGCACCUGAGGUUUGGGAAACUUUGUUUUGGGAAUGAAAUGUGCAAAUUCAGUUCUUUGUUUGUGGUUCAGGAGGCUUUUAUGGCGGCUUUUGUGUUUCAUUUUUCCUGUGCACGUGUGUGUGAAGCAGUAUUUUACUUACAUUCUGUCAACUCUUGUAUGUGUCCUCUGUCUCCCCGCUUCAGUUUUAAUUACCCAGGAUUUUGGAAAGUAACUGGUCCUGCUUUAAACUCCAUUUCUCACACAAGCCCAUACUGUUCACCUCUGCCUGUCAGCAUUGGGCUGUGAUGGGGGCAAUAGUGACCUGUGGCCUCUGAGGCUUGAUGCUUUUACAGUUUUGAGCAAUGUGGCGUUCAUUCUAAAAGUGACCCCCCCGCACUGCUGUUCAUCAUCUAGACCAGGUGAUAGGACUUACUAAACCCCCUUUUCUGCUGCUGUCCCUCUUGGUGUUCAGUUCCUCUUUCUUUUUUCCCCUUCCUGCCUGCCUUGAUGAGUGGGGAGGGACUAGUGGGUUGUGGAAUUGAGUUCCAAGAAAAGCCCUCAGUCUUGAGAGGCAAACUAAACUAUUAAAAGCCUUUGAGAAUUUACAUUAAAGGUAUUUUUAUUAUUGGCAAGAUAACCAAAUCACUUUUAUCCUUCAUUUUUACACACCUAGUGCUUCUCUAUGGCAAAUUCCCAAUUAUUAAA